rnacentral:lncRNA from 1 species
GACCUCUCAUCGUGUCCCUUUCAGGGUGCCAUCAGCGCGGCUGGAAAGCUGUUCCUGACGCCAAACUCACAAAGGCUUUGCCCGCACUCCUGAUGUCUAAAGAGCAAGGUGUCGUUUAUUCCACGCAGGGAGAUAUUGGCUGUGGGCAGGAGGGGAGUGAGCUCUGCUCCAUUUCUGGAGCUGUGGAGGAGACCCUGGAGAUCAGAUCAACGACAGGGAAUAGACUCAGAAGAUUCCUGGGUGAAUUGUUCAGGUCCCAUCCCGUGGGCACGGCGGUGCUGAUUCUGCUGCUCCUGGUGCUGGUGCUGGCUUUGGGGGUGGCCGUGGCUGUGCCGGCAGGUAAGGGAGGGGCAGCAGCCUGGGCCCAGCCCCUCUGGGCAGAGCGGGCUCCAUGCUCCCUGCACAGGGGAAUCCUCAGAGCUUCUCCUCUUCCUCCUGCAGCACCACAGGUUCCAGUCACACCUACGACUCCACAGUGUGUUCUGGGCUGUCCCNGUGGUCUCAGCCACUGAAAUGAGGAACUUUUCUUGUGGGUUCCCAAUACCAUUUCCAACAAAGCCCAGCUGGUGCUGAAAAUAGCAUUCACAUUCGGGGGCAAAACCAAUAAGGAAUCACAGACAUCUGAAGUCAAAUGAGGGUCCCAUAAAAGUAAAAUUUCUCUUUGUUUUUAACAGAGGCAGAUUUUCAUCUUUUAAGCCCAAAUCUUCUCUGACACACAAAAGAACAUAAAAUCCAUAAACACUUUAGUUCCAACUUGAAAUAUUUGUUUUUUGGCAAUUCUGUUUUUACAUAAAGUGUGGUUGGAUGAACACUACUGAAGCACAGAAACACUAAGACUACUACUGCAAACUGCAGAAAUUACUGAAAAUUCUCUUCUACUGUCAGCAAGAGUCAACAUGUCUGAAGGUUUCCUUGUAUGGAGAACAGUUACACUGAAUGGUUUUGACAUCAAAAUCAACUGGAAAACAAUGAUUUCAGGUAAAGUGUAAAAAAUGAACACUGUGUUAUGGAUAUAUAUUAUGGUGUUGGCCUUUUGCCUAUAUUAAAAUGGAUUCCAUAAGUGUGGUGUUAAAGUGACUUUGCUGAAAGUACAUAGUUUCUAUUUUUCUUGCUAACUAAAACUUGGAAAUAGCUGAUCUAGAUAUGCCUAUGUCAAAAUGCCUGCUUGGUUGAGAUAAUAUCCAAGGAAUAUAGGAUGCCAACUACCAGCACUCAUCUUCUGAAGGCAGUGUGGACCCAGGCCCAAAAACUGAAGGUAAUGAUAAAAUUAACUAAAACCACAACCAAGAAGUGUGCGUGCUCUAAAAAGCAGGACCUGAGGACGAGCCAUGCAAAACAGUUCUUGGGGCAUGUAAACUAGUUUGGGAAAAAAUUUACAUAUGCACCAGGCUGAUGCAAUAGAAAUGCUAUAUAAUUUGUGUUUCCAAACUAGCAGGUGUGCUCCAUGCUGAGGGCCAAGACACACCCAGCUGUAACCUCUGCUUUGUUGUCUUUGUCUUCUAUUAAAGUCCU